rnacentral:lncRNA from 1 species
UGGACGUAGCCCAAACCUUGGGGUGAACCACAAUACAUCUUGUGUUAUUUACAUUUCUUGCAUAUUCGUGGUCGGAUUUACGUUGUUUCAAGAUUUCCUGUUUUGUGCAUCAACAUAUUUUAAAUCAAUAAAUAAUGAAAAUGAAAAACAUAAUUUGACCUAAAAAAAAUUGAAAACAAAACAACAUUUAUCUUUUAAGUAUUACAUACCCCAAAAUAAGAGUCUAAUGAAAAAACUUUAGUACAUUACUACAAAUUAGUGUUCUAAAACGCGGUCUAGGCGGCGCUUAGGUGCUAGGCGGCAGUGCUCCGCAGCGAUUAACUAGAAAUCGUUCACUAAAUCGGCAAGGACAUUAAGCAGUAUAAGGCGGCUGCCUGGGCGGGCUCGGUAGACGCUGGGCGGCCUGGAAAAGAAACUUCAGUCGUGAGACUCACAACCUUCUUGUCUCCCCGAGUCUCGCCGUCUACCUCUCUGUUUGCUAGAAGAGAAGUCGAAUAUCUGUGGUGGUGCAAGUUGGAUUUGAGAUCCAAUUUUGAGGUUCUGAAAAGGCGAAGAAGAAGAUGAGGGAAGAGAGUGAGAGCGAGAGAGAGAGAGAGAUCUGAAAGGGUGAAGAAGAAGAUGAGGGAAGAGAGUGAGAGAGAGAGAGAGAUUGAAAAAAACCAAUUUUGAGGUUCUGAAAGGACCGG